UACAGAGGGUGCGAGCGUUGUUCGGAAUUAUUGGGCGUAAAGGGCGCGUAGGCGGUUCGGUAAGUCACCUGUGAAAUCUCCUGGCUCAACUGGGAGCUUGCAGGCGAAACUGCCGUGCUGGAGUGUGGGAGAGGUGCGUGGAAUUCCUGGUGUAGCGGUGAAAUGCGUAGAUAUCCGGAAGAACACCAGUGGCGAAGGCGGCCCGCUGGGCAGUGGCUGACGCUGAGGCGCGACAGCGUGGGGAGCAAACAGG
rnacentral:rRNA from 1 species